UUAAGUUGGGCACUCUAAGUUGACUGCCGGUGACAAACCGGAGGAAGGUGGGGAUGACGUCAAAUCAUCAUGCCCCUUAUGAUUUGGGCUACACACGUGCUACAAUGGACAAUACAAAGGGCAGCGAAACCGCGAGGUCAAGCAAAUCCCAUAAAGUUGUUCUCAGUUCGGAUUGUAGUCUGCAACUCGACUAUAUGAAGCUGGAAUCGCUAGUAAUCGUAGAUCAGCAUGCUACGGUGAAUACGUUCCCGGGUCUUGAAUA
rnacentral:rRNA from 1 species